GGAUUGUGGCUCAGCGGUAGAGCAGAGCUCCCUUAGCAUGGGCGGGACCCGGGUUCGAUUCUCAGCACCA
rnacentral:tRNA from 1 species